CAUUUUCAGAUAUGGAGCAAGCAGAAAGAUGAGAUGCUUGAUUUUUAUCACUAUGGUAGAAGAGUGCCAAAAGCAGAAGGGGAAGGAGGGAAGAACCAUGGGCUAAGUACCUCAGGGUUGAACAGCACAUGUCAUCAAAGGAUUCAGUUGUCAGAAGUCGGCUCCGAUCUGUGUGCCCAAGUCCAGCUGGUUUGCAAAACCACAUGCUGAAAAGCCAGAUGUCCCUGUGUUACUCAGCUUGGAUAUGUAGCCCAGGUCUCUGCUGUUGGCUAUCAGGAAAGCCCAAUCCAUGUUCCCACAUAAUUUCUGGUCAUUUUUAGAUGUACAUAUUAUGCCUUCUAAAUGCCCAUUUCCUGGCCUGCAGGUUGAGGGGAUAUGAGAGUAUUUUGUUUAA